AGGCCCGGCCACCAACCCGCGCUACUCCGGGUCCGGCGCUACGGCGUUGGGGGUGCGCCCCAGGUGCCCCCGGCUGGGGAGGGCGCGAGCCUAGGACGACGGCGGGAGCCAGGCUUUGUCCGCCCCCUUCCCAUUCACGCUGUUCUCAACUCCCCACCCCCAACCGGAGCCAGCGCGACCUGCGGGGUGGGCAGGGGGCGGGGAGGUGGGCGGUGAGCUGUGCGGGGCGCACAGACAAUGGGGUAGCCUGGCAGAGUCCCCGGACGCGCCAGGGAAAGUCGCUAAGUGUCGCCUGUGCUGCAGCCCGGGGCAGCGCCCCAGGGAGCCGGCCCUGGCAAGUUCACGAGGUGAUCGCCGAGGGGAAACACGAAGUAAGGUUGUCUCUGCGACCAGAGACUGGCUCGCUCCUUCCCUAGUCUCCCACCGUCCGCGGCUUCCGGUUCUCUGCCGCUGGCUCCACCGGGAAGAAGCCACGCACCCUCGGCCGCUUUGUGGAGCCACUUCGGGUGAGCCCGGCGCGGGAGCGACGAGGCGAGACAAUGCGAAACCCUGAGGAGAGCGACGCGCAAAGGGCGCACGGGGUGGGGGCGGGGGUGGGGGCGACACCUUGCUGCGGCCACAAGCAGGCAGGCCCAGGCCCUGAAGGGCGCGAAGUUGGCCUCCUUAAAAGAUCAAUUAAACUGAAGAGGUCAAAGAACGGAAUUGGAUUGUGAUACUAAAAUCAAUAAGAGUGAUUUAAUACCUACCCUAUUUCAUAUGGAAUAUUUAUCCCAAUAAUCUUACUUAAAAUUGUUUAGAUCUUUCUACUCCUCACGGAGUAGAGGCUGAAAUCUAUCUUGCAAUUAAAAGUUAGAAGUUGGAGGUGAUAGGAGGUGGAGGUGUUUAUUCUGUGGACGCGCGCGCACCCAAGCGCCAGCAUGCGUGUGCGAGUUUUCCUCUCAAAGUGUAAGUAGGGGAGGAGGGGCGGAAAGGCUUUUAAUUUUCCUUGUCAUGAAAUAAAGCGAGACAAUUUUGCUGGCAAGCCAGGAUUCUUAAAAGAAGAGGGGAAAAGAAAAAAAAAAAACUUUCGUUGAAGUGCCCCCGAUAUCGCUAUUAAAUCUAAAUAAAAUUAAGCACGGUGUAUAAAAAUGCCUUCCCCCCCCCCACAAAAGAAAGUGUUUAUCGCCCAAGUCUGUCUAGCGUUUGCUAAAUUACGCAUGAAAUCUGAAAUGAAAUAAACGUUAUAAUAAAACCAA
rnacentral:lncRNA from 1 species